UGAUAAUUAGUUUAAACAAAACAAGUGAUUUCGACUCACUAGAUUAUGCCAAACUCCAUAAUUAUCAA
rnacentral:tRNA from 1 species